UACGUAGGUGGCAAGCGUUGUCCGGAUUUACUGGGCGUAAAGAGCGCGCAGGCGGUCGUUCAAGUCGCGUGUGAAAGCCCCCCGGCUCAACUGGGGAGGGUCACGCGAUACUGAUCGACUCGAAGGCAGGAGAGGGUAGUGGAAUUCCCGGUGUAGCGGUGAAAUGCGCAGAUAUCAGGAGGAACACCAAUGGCGAAGGCAGCUCGCUGGGACGGUACUGACGCUGAGGCGCGAAAGCGUGGGGAGCAAACAGG
rnacentral:rRNA from 1 species